rnacentral:rRNA from 1 species
GUUGAUUUCACACUGCCGAGAAAAGCCUCUAGAUAGAAAAUAGGUGCCCGUACCGCAAACCGACACAGGAAGUCAAGAUGAGAAUUCUAAGGUGAGCGAGCGAACUCUCGUUAAGGAACUCGGCAAAAUGACCCCGUAACUUCGGGAGAAGGGGUGCUCUUUAGGGUUAACGCCCAGAAGAGCCGCAGUGAAUAGGCCCAAGCGACUGUUUAUCAAAAACACAGGUCUCUGCUAAACCGUAAGGUGAUGUAUAGGGGCUGACGCCUGCCCGGUGCUGGAAGGUUAAGAGGAGUGGUUAGCUUCUGCGAAGCUACGAAUCGAAGCCCCAGUAAACGGCGGCCGUAACUAUAACGGUCCUAAGGUAGCGAAAUUCCUUGUCGGGUAAGUUCCGACCCGCACGAAAGGCGUAACGAUUUGGGCACUGUCUCAACGAGAGACUCGGUGAAAUCAUAGUACCUGUGAAGAUGCAGGUUACCCGCGACAGGACGGAAAGACCCCGUGGAGCUUUACUGUAGCCUGAUAUUGAAAUUCGGCACAGCUUGUACAGGAUAGGUAGGAGCCUUUGAAACGUGAGCGCUAGCUUACGUGGAGGCGCUGGUGGGAUACUACCCUAGCUGUGUUGGCUUUCUAACCCGCACCACUUAUCGUGGUGGGAGACAGUGUCA